UGACUGUCCUGUAUGGUGGCCUUGCUAAUGGUUUGUCUCUGUUCAGGAGGAUCUGUGGUUGCCUGCUUUUCCAAUUGGGACUGAGAAAACACUAGAAGAAGGUGGGGAGCUUUAUGAGAAGACGGUUUACUUGUUUGGAAGCACUGAGCUGCAACUAUUGGAUGUUAAUGGUCAAUCGAAGCGGAUGGUAUAUAUUCCUGUUGCAGUUGCUGUAGACUGUCCUUUCAACCAUCAGACAAAAUUUGAAUAAAUUCUAUUCAAAGGGAAAAUGAAGAAAUAGUACCGAUAAAAGCGAUGAAGAUGGCAUGGGUUCUAUUAUGUUCCUCUUGCGGAUAACUGCAGUUGCCUCAUUUGUGGUAAUCAAAUGUGGCUGUAGUUUAGUGGUGAGAAUUCCACGUUGUGGCCGUGGAGACCUGGGCUCGAAUCCCAGCAGCCACACAUUUGAUGAACCAUUUU